GAUGAACGCUGGCGGCGUGCCUAAUACAUGCAAGUCGAGCGCAGCGGGGACGGGUGAGUAACACGUGGAUAACCUCUUAUAAGACUGGGUUAACUUCGGGAAUCCGGAGCUAAACCGGAUACUCACAGAUCGAUCCGCGCUGCAUUAGCUAGUUGGUAAGUCAAGGGCGUACAAAGGCAACGAUGCAUAGCCGACCUGUGAGGGUGAUCGGCCACACUGGAACUGAGAAACGGUCCAGACUCCUACGGGAGGCAGCAGUAGGGAAUCUUCCGCGAUGGGCGAAAGCCUGACGGAGCAACGCCGCGUGAGUGAUGAAGGUCUUCGGAUCGUAAAACUCUGUUAUUAGGGAAGCGGUACCUAAUCAGAAAGCCACGGCUAACUACGUGCCAGCAGCCGCGGUAAUAC
rnacentral:rRNA from 1 species